rnacentral:rRNA from 1 species
UACGUAGGGUGCAAGCGUUAAUCGGAAUUACUGGGCGUAAAGCGUGCGCAGGCGGUUUUGUAAGUCUGACGUGAAAUCCCCGGGCUCAACCUGGGAAUUGCGUUGGAGACUGCAAGGCUAGAAUCUGGCAGAGGGGGGUAGAAUUCCACGUGUAGCAGUGUAAUGCGUAGAGAUGUGGAGGAACACCGAUGGCGAAGGCAGCCCCCUGGGUCAAGAUUGACGCUCAUGCACGAAAGCGUGGGGAGCAAACAGG